UUGUGUUUGGUUUUUUUUUGUGUUUUUUUU
rnacentral:sRNA from 1 species